AAAAAAAAAGAUCUUGAUGCUUAUUGUUCCUUACGGUGUUUCUCUCUACUCUCUCUCUACGGGCGCUCUCUCUCCUCUGCUCUCCCCCCUCGCUCGCUCGCUCCCUCUCUCUCCCCGAUCUACUCUCCCUCCUCUCCAUCCCUCUAUCUACACUCUUUGUGGCGCACACAAUGAAAUCCGGGAACCUUUCUUGAAUGAACUCAAACUAUCAAAUCAACUCCCGAUGUUCGAUGUUCGAUGUCCAUCAGAUCAUUACAUUUUGAGGCUACUGUUAAUAGAGGAUGAUUGACUUCAUUCAAAAGUGAUAGAAAGAUGCAAGAAAAAGAGCAAAAUUAUAAUUGGUUGAAUAUUUUCUAUGAUUUGUCUGACUCGUAAGUUGCACUAAAUCAAUGGUGACUCUGUUUGUAAUGUCUCCUGCCUUGGACAGGGUUAGUCGAUAUAAUCUUAGAGAUGACACCUGGAAGUUAUGAGGUCGAUUGGAUGCAACAAUUUUUCUAGCAUUAUCAGCUGUAAUUGAUGAGUAUGGAUGCAUGUGGGCUUUUCUCUCAAAAGCUACGAAAUGAGUUAUGUUAGCCUUAGGAACUGAUAUAAUGCCUAGUUGAGUUUUAAUUUGCUAAGAUUUCCAGUUUGUGAGUAGAGUGUUUUUGGAGUGUCUAAUGGUUUUUUUUAUUCCAUUUGAUGUACAUGUAAUUUAAAUGCUGCUACCAACAAACUAGUUGAAUAGGUUUUGUACAUGAGUAACGGAAGGAUAGAUCACUGCCUCGUUUAUUAGUAGGUGUAUGGAUUUUUUUUUAAUAUUUACCAUUUCUUGUUUUAGGGGAGAGUGGUUUUGGUUGAAAAUUGUGUGCAUGUUUACUUCUAUUGUGGUUGAGGAUUUAUAUUGGAGAACCAAUGUGCAUCAUAUUUAUCGUUUUGCUUUCAUCAGCUGGAUAUGUAUUGGAAUACUAUCAUCGAAGUGUCGUUUUUAUUUUUAGUCCAUGCAUGUCUUGUUUUGUAUAUUCAUUUCACGUUUUUUUCUGAAAGUUGGAUGAAAAUGAUGAACAUUGCUUAUAUGUUUUUGUCA